rnacentral:lncRNA from 10 species
GGGGGAUGGGGGGGUGGGGGAAGGGCGAGCCAGCCAACUGGGAGGUGGAGGUGGAGACCGGAAAGCAGCGGUCGAAACGAUAGCUCCGGAGCUCACGAUUUAAAGAAAAAUGCAAAGGAAAAGCUACAGGGCGCUGCCACCUUCCCGCCACCCAGGCUUUGGGCGUUCGCUGCUCGCUUUCGAGCCCUCCGCAGCCAGGCGUCCUGGGGUUGGGGCCAGGAGAAUGGGGAGGGCCCCAUCCAGGCGCUCCACCUCUCCUCCACCUUCCGCCAGGCCCCUCCCGCAAUCCGAGAUGAAACGCUGGCUGUGUUUGGAGGGAGGAGGGAGUCCCUGCCUCUCUUUCCAAGUCCGUCUGGUUCCUUUGCGCUGCCGUCUAGGCUCCAAUAAGGACAGAAUUUCUUAACCUGGUAUCUGAUCAAUGGACGGGCCCCAGGAAGCCUGUGAGUGCCUCCGCCCAUUUGUGGUUUCACCUGCAGUUUUCUGAGUGCCACUAUGGGGAAGGGGCACCAACUUUUGUCAGAUUCUCAAGAGGAUCCGUGACUUCCCUGUUACCUCUGUGUGACGAUACCACUUGCUGUCAGGUGGGUCCUUUUUGUCCGAGAUAGACAGUGUUCUUACAGGAAGAAUGAGAAGAAGGUGGCAGAGCAGUCCCUCGCCCUGGGCUGAGCUCGGAACACCUAGCUGGAUGCAGGUGUUCGCCUCCUAACGCGUGCCGGUGGGCGAGCCGUAUGCCCCCGCGGGACCCAGUUCCUCCGGGGUACAAUGAGUGGCUGACCUCCAGGCAGCGCCAGUGCCAACCUGCCUCCGGGCGGGUGUCCCAAACGGUCCGCCAGAGCGCUGUUGGUUCAGCAGUCCCAUGCCCGGUGCAGGCAUGUCCCGCCGCUGCCCUGUGGCUACUCACACGCACGUGCGCAAACGGACCUGUGCCCCCUCCAGUGGAACCGCAGGCUCAAGGCGGGGAUUGUGCAUUCGCUCUCCCCAAGUCAGCCUCCCCCACUCCUGAAUGGCUCCUUUGUGUUGCAUUUUACACAGUUCUGACCUUGGGCCGUGAGUUGGAUAUGAACUAGAAAUGUCUGGUUUGUCUCUUUCCUUCUUAAAUUAAUGGCCUUUACCCCCGGUGAAACUGCUUUUUAUUUGGCAGUUUCGCUUAAUUUUGCCUUUCCGCGGGUCUUUAUUUAUGCAACAUCGCCGCCCGAUGGUUAGAAUUGGGAACAGAGUCAAAGAUGGAAGUACUGUAAUACCAAAGACGCAAGUCAGCAGAGAUCAAACUAACAAAGGAGAAUGCAGUCACACUUUACAGACGUGAGAUUAGAAAUUAAAGUAGGCAAUGAGGUCCAACUUGUCAAAAAUACAAAAGUAAAUUUUAUGCAAUUUAAAACUUUAUUGGGGAAAUAUAAUAUUAAAGGCAAUGUCGCCCUCUAAUGGAUAUAUUCAAAGGAAAUGAAUUUCAGAAAGGUUUCCCUGUCCCCCCUUUUCUUCGUUGUGCGCACCCAUCAAACCUAAAGAGAAUUACUUAACUGGAAAUUUACAACGGGGAACUUACUGAAUGAAAGGUUAUUGGAGGAAUCAUCUGGAGUGGGAAAAAGAGCCUAUGGGAUUUAUAUUAAUAUAUUCAAAUUACUUGAUGACUUAAAGUGUAGAUAAUCAAACAUGCCUCCAACUGAAUCUGAGAAUCCUGUGAAUGUUGACCUGCAACAUGAAGAUAUAUUAUGCAAAAUUCAGCCAUGGGAAAUGCUUCUGAACAAACAACUGAGUUUCUUUAAUAAAUAAGUUUCAAGGAAAGAAAGAGAUGGAGAGAAGACCUACACAUUUAAAGAGACUUGAAAGACAUAAUAACCAAUUACAAGAGACACAUGCUGAAAUAAGUGUUUUGUAGCCCUCAAGAGUUGGCUUCCUCAAGGAAAAAAGGAAGACAAAUCCUCAUGGAAAAAUCUGGUAAAGGGACUAGGAAGUUAGGAAAGACUGUAGAUAGAUCUCUUGUCUUUCAAAUUUUCCUCAGUCUUCUAGUCAGCCUGAGGACUGGCAGUACCAAGUAAACCCAGAAUGUGUCUGUGUUUGUGUUUUGUGUGAUAUGGGAAAAAG